GCUACAAAUUUAUAAUAGUGAUUUUCUAGAAUUGGUUGAGAAGAUAUUUUGUCAACCUGAAGAGAAACAAAAACACACCAUAAAGUUAAGUAAUAUGGAAACAUGCACUGAAUUUGUUUUGAAGACCUGAAGGAUAGAUCUACUAUGAUUAAAUAAGAAUGAAGCGUACAUUAUCAUAUGCUAUGAAAAUUAUAAUUCAGAGACUCAGAGUUGAAGCCUAGAAUAACACAUUUCCUACAAGCUUCAAGAGUACCUAUGCUCUUGAAACAGGCUGAUCCAGACUUUGACCU